AGAUUUAUAGGCCAAUACAAGACUUGUGUGUUUAGUUUACUUUCUUGGUUCAAAAUAAUAAUACUUAUAGUUAUAUCUUCAGAAAUAUGGUUUAUGAUUUUAUAUAUUAAAACUUAGCAAGAUAUUAUAUCAAAAAUGUUAUAAAGACUACUGGUAACUAUUCAAGGUAUAUUAAAAAAAAAAAAUCUCCAACAUUCCAAGCACAUUUGUCAAUGGGAAAUACUAC
rnacentral:lncRNA from 1 species